GACGAACGCUGGCGGCGUGCUUAACACAUGCAAGUCGAACGGAAAGGCCCUGCUUUUGUGGGGUGCUCGAGUGGCGAACGGGUGAGUAACACGUGAGUAACCUGCCCUUGACUUUGGGAUAACUUCAGGAAACUGGGGCUAAUACCGGAUAGGAGCCCCUGCUGCAUGGUGGGGGUUGGAAAGUUUCGGCGGUUGGGGAUGGACUCGCGGCUUAUGAGCUUGUUGGGGGGGGAGUGGCUUACCAAGGCUUUGACGGGUAGCCGGCCUGAGAGGGGGACCGGCCACAAUGGGACUGAGAUACGGCCCAGACUCCUACGGGAGACAGCAGUGGGGAAUAUUGCACAAUGGGCGGAAGCCUGAUGCAGCAACGCCGCGUGCGGGAUGACGGCCUUCGGGUUGUAAACCGCUUUCGCCUGUGACGAAGCGUGAGUGACGGUAAUGGGUAAAGAAGCACCGGCUAACUACGUG
rnacentral:rRNA from 1 species